UACGUAGGGGGCAAGCGUUUGUCCGGAAUUAUUGGGCGUAAAGAGCUCGUAGGCGGUUUGUUGCGUCGGCUGUGAAAUCCCGAGGCUCAACCUCGGGUCUGCAGUCGAUACGAGCAAACUAGAGUGUUGCAGGGGAGACUGGAAUUCCUGGUGUAGCGGUGAAAUGCGCAGAUAUCAGGAGGAACACCGGUGGCGAAGGCGGCUCUCGUGGAACGGU
rnacentral:rRNA from 1 species